rnacentral:lncRNA from 1 species
AACCCUCUUGGCUGAACACAUCCACACUCUGUGUCAAUCUCUCUUCUAACCAGAACAGAAAACCACUUCACAAAAUGUUCUAACAUUCGUUAGGACAUCCUUCACAACAUAACCAGGAACACCAUCUGAUAAUCUUCAGAUAUCACUGAGUCACCAGCUUGAUCCAAAAAGAACCCAGACAUAAAUUGGGACAUAUACA